AUUUUAUAUUUACAUAUAUUUGAUACAAAAAUAUAAAAUGAUAAAAAUUCAAAAUGCUUAUACAUUUAAAAUUCAGAUGCCAUUAAUUCUGCUUCAGAUUCAAGUCGAUCAACAUCACCUUUUCCAAAAUACGCUGAAAAUUUACCAAGCUGGGUAUAAAAGCGAGAUAAAUGGAUUGGACAAAACUCAGGAUGAUGAGUUGGAUGACACUGACAGGCAUUUAAUUAUACUUUUCAUAAUUUAAGUCCACUACCCUCUCUGUUCAAGAAUUAUUACCAUAAUUAUCACUAUCAUUACCAUCAUCAUCAUAUUCAUUACCAUUCAUCAUUGUCAUUAUUUGCUCUAGAAUAUAAAGUCCCGCCAAUUUUUUUUUUAAUUUGCCAAUUCGGAAACCAAAAUUUUGCACUAUUUUUUUUUCUUAUGCAUUACCAGGCUAAUAAACAAUUUUUCAACAGAAGCUGCUAUUUAAGGCGAAGUGUGAGAAUUUAAGAUUAUUCUUUUAACAUUCAAUUUCUCAAAUAGAUACAUGGUAUAAUAUUUAAACUUUGUAAAACUGUCAGUUUUAAAGUUUUCUAAAAGGCGACAGUAAUUACUUUUUUCGAAUUGACCCGUCACCUAUAUGCGCUACAUCGUAGAUACAAUUAAAUUUACAUGAACAGAAAACCAAGGCGCUUUAUUGAAGCUAUGAAUUAUCACCUAGAAAUAGAGGUCAUACAAACAUGUGCUCUUUGAAAUUGUGGAAAAUAUUCUAAAAUCAUUCUAAAAACAUUUUCUUAAAUUAACUAUGCCCAAAACUAUUAUCAUAUAACAUAAGGGCAAAAGUAAGUAGCAUAGUACGUUUUUCAAAUUUUUUAUAAAAACAGUUCUUGCAUGUACAAACUGUUUGACCUCCACAAAAAUGGUUUGCCUCUCAUACCCCCCUCCCCUCCCCUCUAAAGUUUGCGGCCUGAAAUGACGUUACUGGGUUAAGUUUGCGGCCUGAAAUGACGUUACUGGGUUUAAAUGCUUAGAUUGUUGUAUAAUAUAAGAUUCUUAUAAAGAUGGAAAUUUUCUCCAUUUGUCUGAAAGUUUAUCUUUUAUAUAAUAACAAUUUCUCUGUAGGCUUUCGUCAAUUACAUACCUCUCAAUCAACGCAUUUUACAAUCCUGAAGCAAAUGGGAUGAGUAAGUUGUUCAGUUAUUACUUUCUUUUUCUACUCAUUUUUUCUCCUUUCC
rnacentral:lncRNA from 1 species